UCCCUAUGGGGUGCAGCAGGCGCGAAACCUCCACAAUGCGCGAAAGCGUGAUGGGGUUACCCCGAGUGCCGUCCGAUGAGGAGGGCUUUUCCCCGGUGUAAGGAGCCGGGGGAAUAAAGGGGGGGCAAGACUGGUGUCAGCCGCCGCGGUAAUACCAGCUCCCUGAGUGGUAAGGACGAUUAUUUGGCUUAAAGCGUCCGUAGCCGGCUUAGUGAGUCUUUUGUUAAAUCCAAUGAUUCAAUCAUUGAACUGCAAGAGAUACUGCUAUGCUUGAGGACGGGAGAGGUCGACGGUAGUCCAGGGGUAGGGGUGAAAUCCUAUAAUCCUUGGAGGACCACCAGUGGCGAAGGCGGUCGACUAGAACGUGCCUGACGGUGAGGGACGAAAGCUGGGGGAGCGAACCGGAUUAGAUACCCGGGUAGUCCCAGCUGUAAACGAUGCAGGCUAGGUGUUUGGGCGGCCACGAGCCGCCCUAGUGCCGCAGGGAAGCUGUUAAGCCUGCCGCCUGGGGAGUACGGCCGCAAGGCUGAAACUUAAAGGAAUUGGCGGGGGAGCACCACAAGGGGUGAAGCUUGCGGUUUAAUUGGAUUCAACGCCGGAA
rnacentral:rRNA from 1 species